rnacentral:rRNA from 1 species
GAUGAACGCUAGCGGCAGGCCUAACACAUGCAAGUCGAGGGAGAGGUUACCUUCGGGUAACCAAAACCGGCGCACGGGUGCGUAACGCGUAUACAAUCUGCCUUUCACAUAGGGAUAGCCCGAAGAAAUUUGGAUUAAUACCUAAUGGUAUAUAAGAGCGGCAUCGUUUUUAUAUUAAAGCUACGGUGGUGAAAGAUGAGUAUGCGUUCUAUUAGCUAGUUGGAGAGGUAACGGCUCCCCAAGGCGACGAUAGAUAGGGGUUCUGAGAGGGAUGUCCCCCACACUGGUACUGAGAUACGGACCAGACUCCUACGGGAGGCAGCAGUGAGGAAUAUUGGACAAUGGUCGGAAGACUGAUCCAGCCAUGCCGCGUGCAGGAUGAAGGUCCUAUGGAUGGUAAACUGCUUUUGUAAGGGAAGAAUAAGGAGUACGUGUACUUUGAUGACGGUACCUUACGAAUAAGCAUCGGCUAACUCCGUG